rnacentral:rRNA from 1 species
AUAGCGUAUAUUUAAGUUGUUGCAGUUAAAAAGCUCGUAGUUGGAUUUCGGGUGGGUACCGCCGGUCUCCCUUUGGGUAUGUACUGGCGUGGCCCGCCUUGCUGUCGGGGACGGUCUCCUGGGCUUCAUUGUCCGGGAAUCGGAGUCGACGAGGUUACUUUGAGUAAAUUAGAGUGUUCAAAGCAAGCCCACGCUCUGAAUAUAAUAGCAUGGGAUAACACGACAGGACUCUGGCCUAUCGUGUUGGUCUGUAGGACCGGAGUAAUGAUUAAGAGGGACAGUCGGGGGCAUUCGUAUUCCAUUGUCAGAGGUGAAAUUCUUGGAUUUAUGGAAGACGAACAUCUG